UCUAGCCAAAUAAGCAAAAAAAUACUGAAACUGAAAAGAUACAGAAGAGAUUAGCAUGACCCCUGCAUGAAGAUGACACACAAAUUUAGGCUGAAUUCAUAUUUUUU